GUAAACAUUGAUAUUUAAACAUAUUUUAAGAGUUUUGGUAACAGGACUGAGGAAAAAUGCAACCAUCUUCCAUUUUAGAAACCUUGUGAAAAAAAAAAAAAGAAUUGUCUGAGAUUGACCAUUACACAUUUUGAAUAGUUAAACAUGUGUUAUUAGAUAGUGCUGAAAAAAGAUAAGGAAUGAAGUUUAAUUUUGAAAAGUUACAACAUGCAAAUGGUACCGAUUCAGCGGAAUGGCCCAUAAAUAUAAACUAUGCACCUUAUGACUUUCAUUAACACGCAGGUGUCAUGCAGACAUUAGUAAGGCAUUGGUGUCAUGUCAGUUUGAUGUUCAAUGGUAGGCGACAGCCACACGGUGGUAUGUUUGCCCAGGCUUAAUUCUGGCACUUAUCACCCCCCAUACCAGCCUGUACAGUGGUUUCCUGGACUGUUUCCUGAAGACUUACUGCCACAACGGGCUCUGUGCCUGACCUGGCCAACGUGGCUGGAAUGCUGUGCUAUUUGUCUGAUACGGGGCCUGCCAGCAGCUCACCAGGAGAGACUUUAGGCUGGAGAACGUGUCUGACCUCAGUAGCCUGCAGUAUACCCUGUCUGGCUCCCUGGCAUUGGUGGUCUUCUCACUGGUGUUUUGUCUCAGAGCUGGUGAAGGGUCGUAUGCAGGCCAUGCAUGAGAUGAGGCUCGGGGGAGACUUCCCUGGUGUCUUGCAUGUGUCCCUGCUUUGUAUUCUGGUCGAACCCCCACUUCCCCUCCAACGGAGCACUAUUCCUGGCUUAUGAGUGGACGAGAAGAGCCCUCCUCAACCACACAUCUGCAUCCUGAGUUAGUUUGUAGGGAUGGGGCAGAAGAGGUUUGUAAAUUCAAAUUCCCCAAAAAUGCAUUAACAUGUACAAACCUCUAAAACUACAUUGUUAAUUUGUGUUAAACUCUGAUCUUGUUUUAACCAUGUUUUCUAUGUCUGGGGUGUAUUCACUAAGAACCCAAAUGGAACCAAAUGUAAGGAAACAGGGAGGGACCUACCGGAAUUUGUCCAUGUAACAUUUGUCAUAAUGAGCGGCCCAAGGCGCAGCGUGCAUAGAGUUCCGCAUAUUUUAAUUCAUCGACCGACCCGUGACGCUACUGGCAUGCAGACAUGCAACUACUGGCAUGCACACAAGCAACUACUGACAUGCAACUACUGGCACGCACACAUGCAACUACUGGCAUGCACGCAUGCAACUACUGACAUGCAACUACUGGCAUGCACACAUGCAACUACUGGCGUCACACAAGCAACUACUGACAUGCAACUACUGGCAUGCACACAUGCAACUACUGGCAUGCACAAACACAACUACUGGCAUGCACACAUGCAACUACUGGCAUGCAACUACUGGCAUGCACACAUGCAACUACUGGCAUGCACACACACAACUAUUGGCAUGCACACAUGCAACUACUGGCAUACACACAUUCAACUACUGGCAUGCACACACACAACUACUGGCAUGCACACAUGCAACUAAACUACUGGCAUGCACACAUGCAACUACUGGCAUGCACACAAGCAACUACUGACAUGCAACUACUGGCAUGCACACAUGCAACUCCUGGCAUGAACACAUGCAACUACUGGCAUGCACACACAACUACUGGCAUGCACACAAGCAACUACUGACAUGCAACUCCUGGCAUGAACACAUGCAACUACUGGCAUGCACACAUGCAACUACUGCCAUGCACACAUGCAACUACUGCCAUGCACACAUGCAACUACUGCCAUGCACACAAGCAACUACUGACAUGCAACUACUGGCAUGCACACAUGCAACUACUGGCAUGCAACUACUGGCAUGCACACACACAACUAUUGGCAUGCACACAUGCAACUACUGGCAUACACACAUUCAACUACUGGCAUGCACACACACAACUACUGGCAUGCACACAUGCAACUAAACUACUGGCAUGCACACAUGCAACUACUGGCAUGAACACAUGCAACUACUGGCAUGCACACAUGCAACUACUGCCAUGCACACAUGCAACUACUGCCAUGCACACAAGCAACUACUGACAUGCAACUACUGGCAUGCACACAUGCAACUACUGGCAUGCAACUACUGGCAUGCACACACACAACUAUUGGCAUGCACACAUGCAACUACUGGCAUACACACAUUCAACUACUGGCAUGCACACACACAACUACUGGCAUGCACACAUGCAACUAAACUACUGGCAUGCACACAUGCAACUACUGGCAUGAACACAUGCAACUACUGGCAUGCACACACAACUACUGGCAUGCACACAAGCAACUACUGACAUGCAACUACUGGCAUGCACACAUGCAACUACUGCCAUGCACACAUGCAACUACUGCCAUGCACACAUGCAACUACUGCCAUGCACACAUGCAACUACUGCCAUGCACACAAGCAACUACUGACAUGCAACUACUGGCAUGCACACAUGCAACUACUGGCAUGCAACUACUGGCAUGCACACACACAACUAUUGGCAUGCACACAUGCAACUACUGGCAUACACACAUUCAACUACUGGCAUGCACACACACAACUACUGGCAUGCACACAUGCAACUAAACUACUGGCAUGCACACAUGCAACUACUGGCAUGAACACAUGCAACUACUGGCAUGCACACACAACUACUGGCAUGCACACAAGCUACUACUGACAUGCAACUACUGGCAUGCACACAUGCAACUACUGGCAUGCACACAUGCAACUACUGCCAUGCACACAAGCAACUACUGACAUGCAACUACUGGCAUGCACACAUGCAACUACUGGCAUGCACACACGCAACUACUGGCAUGCACACACACAACUACUGGCAUGCACACAUGCAACUAAACUACUGGCAUGCACACAUGCAACUACUGGCAUGCACACAAGCAACUACUAACAUGCAACUACUGGCAUGCACACAUGCAACUACUGGCAUGCACACAUGCAACUACUGCCAUGCACACAUGCAACUACUGCCAUGCACACAAGCAACUACUGCCAUGCAACUACUGGCAUGCACACAUGCAACUACUGGCAUGCACACACACAACUACUGGCAUGCACACACACAACUACUGGCAUGCACACAUGCAACUAAACUACUGGCAUGCACACAAGCAACUACGGACAUGCAACUACUGGCAUGCACACAUGCAACUACUGGCAUGCACACAAGCAACUACUGACAUGCACACAAGCAACUACUGACAUGCAACUACUGGCAUGCACACAUGCAACUACUGGCAUGCACACAUGCAACUACUGGCAUGCAACUACUGGCAUGCAACUACUGGCAUGCACUACUGGCAUGCAACUACUGGCAUGCAACUACUGGCAUGCAACUACUGGCAUGCAACUACUGGCAUGCAACUACUGGCAUGCAACUACUGGCAUGCAACUACUGGCAUGCAACUACUGGCAUGCAACUACUGGCAUGCAACUAUCUGUAAACCAGAUCCCACAAAGCACAAUGAGGAAAUGGCUGCCUAAAUAUGAUCCCCAAUCAGAGACAACGAUAAACUGUCUCUGAUUGGGAACCACACCACACCAGGCCAACAUAAACCAUUAAUCACCUAGAUGAUCCACCCUAGUCACUAUCACGCCCCAACCAACAGAGAAUAAACAGCUCUCUAUGGUCAGGGUGUGACAGUCCAAUAGAAACACCUCUUUUUUUUCCCCCCCAAAAAAUGUUUUCUGGUUUGGAGCAAACGGUUACCAUUGCAAAACGUUGUGUAACAUUUUGCUAUGGUCUUCGUCUAAUGAAUACACCCCUGGUCAAUAGGUCUUAAUGUCUAGCCACUGAACGUAAUGAGUCAGGACACAUCAAAGGACUCUAUGCACUACAACAACUCUAACAUUCCAGCCACUGGCCCGAGACAAGCAUUACACAAUUUCACACAGGAUCUGUUGUGUUGUCAACUAGUUAAAAAAAAAAAGAUCCUUCUAUUUACCGUAUAUGUGUAAAUAAAAGCUUUAGGUAUUACAUUAUAUAGCUACAGCACAGCUCAACACUGUUAUAUUUAGUGUUAUGUUCAUUAUUGUUUCUACAUUAAAUGUGUGUUACACAAGUCCAGUGUUAUCCCUCCUUUAUCAUGUCAGAAAGCAAUGCAUUUAAUGGACAACAAUCAAAUCAAAUUGUACUUGUCACAUGCGCCGAAUACAACAGUGAAAUGCUUACUUACAAGCCCUUAACCAACAAUGCAGUCAAGAAAUAUAGUUAAUAAAAUGUUUACUAAAUAAACUAAAGUAACAAAAUAAAAUAUAAAGUAACAAAAUAAAAUGACAUAACAAUAACAAGGCUAUGGGGGUACCGGUACUGAAUCAAUGUGUGGGGGUACCGGUACUGAAUCAAUGUGUGGGGGUACCGGUACUGAAUCAAUGUGUGGGGGUACCGGUACUGAAUCAAUGUGUGGGGGUACCGGUACUGAAUCAAUGUGUGGGGGUACCGGUACUGAAUCAAUGUGUGGGGGUACCGGUACUGAAUCAAUGUGUGGGGGUACCGGUACUGAAUCAAUGUGUGGGGGUACCGGUACUGAAUCAAUGUGUGGGGGUACCGGUACUGAAUCAAUGUGUGGGG